rnacentral:rRNA from 1 species
GACGAACGCUGGCGGCGUGCUUAACACAUGCCAGUCGAACGGAAAGGCCCUGCUUUUGUGGGGUGCUCGAGUGGCGAACGGGUGAGUAACACGUGAGUAACCUGCCCUUGACUUUGGGAUAACUUCAGGAAACUGGGGCUAAUACCGGAUAGGAGCUCCUGCUGCAUGGUGGGGGUUGGAAAGUUUCGGCGGUUGGGGAUGGACUCGCGGCUUAUCAGCUUGUUGGUGGGGUAGUGGCUUACCAAGGCUUUGACGGGUAGCCGGCCUGAGAGGGUGACCGGCCACAUUGGGACUGAGAUACGGCCCAGACUCCUACGGGAGGCAGCAGUGGGGAAUAUUGCACAAUGUGCGGAAGCCUGAUGCAGCAACGCCGCGUGCGGGAUGACGGCCUUCGGGUUGUAAACCGCUUUCGCCUGUGACGAAGCGUGAGUGACGGUAAUGGGUAAAGAAGCACCGGCUAACUACGUG